rnacentral:rRNA from 1 species
AGUGAACGCUGGCGGUAGGCCUUACACAUGCAAGUCGAACGGCAGCACAGUAAGAGCUUGCUCUUACGGGUGGCGAGUGGCGUACUGGUGAGGAAUACAUCGGAAUCUACUUUUUCGUGGGGGGUAACGUAGGGAAACUUAGGCUAAUACCGCAUACGACCUACGGGUGAAAGCAGGGGAUCUUCUGACCUUGCGCGAUUGAAUGAGCCGAUGUCGGAUUAGCUAGUUGGCGGGGUAAAGGCCCACCAAGGCGACGAUCCGUAGCUGGUCUGAGAGGAUGAUCAGCCACACUGGAACUGAGACACGGUCCAGACUCCUACGGGAGGCAGCAGUGGGGAAUAUUGGACAAUGGGCGCAAGCCUGAUCCAGCCAUACCGCGUGGGUGAAGAAGGCCUUCGGGUUGUAAAGCCCUUUUGUUCGGAAAGAAAAGCAGCAGGUUAAUACCCCGCUGUUCUGACGGUACCCAAAGAAUAAGCACCGGCUAACUUCGUG